GGGGAAUCUUGCGCAAUGCGCGAAAGCGUGACGCAGCAACGCCGCGUGUGGGAAGACGGCCUUCGGGUUGUAAACCACUUUCAGUUGGGACGAAGCCUUGCCGGUGAAUAGCCGGCUGAGGUGACGGUACCUUCAGAAGAAGCCCCGGCUAACUACGUGCCAGCAGCCGCGGUAAUACGUAGGGGGCAAGCGUUGUCCGGAAUCAUUGGGCGUAAAGCGGGUGUAGGCGGCCAGGUAAGUCCGUUCUGAAAGCCCGGGGCUCAACCCCGGGAGGCGGAUGGAUACUGCUUGGCUCGAGUCCGGAAGAGGCGAGUGGAAUUCCCGGUGUAGCGGUGAAAUGCGCAGAUAUCGGGAGGAACACCAAUGGCGAAGGCAGCUCGCUGGGACGGUACUGACGCUGAGACGCGAAAGCGUGGGGAGCAAA
rnacentral:rRNA from 1 species